GUGGUCACUUGUUCAGCACGUAUACUAAAAUUGGAAUGAUACAGAGAAGAUUAGCAAUGUACUGUGCAAUGAUAACACUCAAAUUUGUGAAGCAUCUCAUAUUUUU
rfam:Pteropus alecto contig111059, whole genome shotgun sequence.